UUUGAUGUUUAGGUCAUAUUCUAUUUAAACUUUUCUUAAGUUUCUCUUUAUGUAUUACAGCAUCUGCAGCCAGUGCAAGCUCUUCUACAACUGAGUCUCAAACAGCAGAACCUACAACAGCCUGUGCCACAACAAACACUCCUUCAACUGAGACUCAAACAUCCAUCACUUCUUUAAGUGAGUAACUAUAAUUAUCUUAGC
rnacentral:lncRNA from 1 species